UUGGGCGGGCAGAGUCGGCACUCAAGGAUAUGGAGUCUGCCGCUGAAUAUGAACUACACAGCCAGUGAACAGAGUUAAAGGCACUGAAAUCCACAACAAAUGCAUAGACUCUUCAUAGGACUGCUUUUGUCCAGUUGUCAGGACAUUUGGCCGGUUGUGUAAUUUCAGGUAUCCCAGUGCUAUUAUCUUGCUCUCUUCACAUUGUUCUGCUGAUCGGCUGCUGGAGAGGGGGAGAUCACUCAAACUUGCAGCACAGCCAUAAAGAGUGACUGGAGUUUGCUCUUUUAAAAAAUUGAUUUCAAUGCAGGAUUCUGCUGGAGAAGUGCAAUUAACUGAUGCAUUUUGAAAAAUAUGAUUUAAAUAUGAUUUCCUUUUUUCUGUAAUAAUAAAACGGUAAUAAACAGCAAUAAAACUGUUCUUGUGGGUAACUAAGCUGCAUGAAUCCAUAUUGGUGGCAGAACAAUCCUACUGGGUUUGCAAUUUGAGUUUGGAGUAGAAAGACAUAUUUGUCUACUUGGAUUUCUGGGAUCUUACUUUCUUUAAGAAAUGUAAUGUCCCUA